GACGAACGCUGGCGGCGCGCCUAACACAUGCAAGUCGAACGAGAGAGAGGGAGCUUGCUUCCUCGAUCGAGUGGCGAACGGGUGAGUAACGCGUGAGGAACCUGCCUCAAAGAGGGGGACAACAGUUGGAAACGACUGCUAAUACCGCAUAAGCCCACGACCCGGCAUCGGGAAGAGGGAAAAGGAGCAAUCCGCUUUGAGAUGGCCUCGCGUCCGAUUAGCUAGUUGGUGAGGUAACGGCCCACCAAGGCGACGAUCGGUAGCCGGACUGAGAGGUUGAACGGCCACAUUGGGACUGAGACACGGCCCAGACUCCUACGGGAGGCAGCAGUGGGGAAUAUUGCACAAUGGGGGAAACCCUGAUGCAGCGACGCCGCGUGGAGGAAGAAGGUCUUCGGAUUGUAAACUCCUGUUGUUGAGGAAGAUAAUGACGGUACUC
rnacentral:rRNA from 1 species